ensembl:snRNA U6 U6 spliceosomal RNA
GUGCUUGCUUCAGCAGCAUAUAUACUAAAAUUGGAACAAUAUAGACAUCAGCAUGACCUCUGUGCAAGAAUGACACACAAAUUGUGAAGUGUCCCACAAUUUU